UCAAAUUUGAAGUUCUGCGUGGCCUUACGAAUUCAUUACUUGCUGCUAAAAAACCAGAUGAGGCUGUUCAGUUUCUUCUUGCCUCUCGUGAACGUAUG